UACGUAGGAGGCGAGCGUUGUCCGGAUUUAUUGGGCGUAAAGAGCUCGUAGGCGGUUCGGUAAGUCGGGUGUGAAACCUCCAGGCUCAACCUGGAGACGCCACCCGAUACUGCUGUGACUAGAGUCCGGUAGGGGAGCGUGGAAUUCCUGGUGUAGCGGUGAAAUGCGCAGAUAUCAGGAGGAACACCAGCGGCGAAAGCGGCUCACUGGACCACAACUGACGCUGAGGCGCGAAAGCUAGGGGAGCAAACAGG
rnacentral:rRNA from 1 species